GUAGAAAAAAUGAAUAAAGCACCGCACUUUUCGCACCGGUUCUUGAAAACCGGUGGUAAAAGAAAUAGGGAAAAGACUUUUCCCACCGGUUUUAAUCAAACCGGUGGGAAAAGAAACUUUUCGCACCGGUUCGAACUGGUGCGAAAGCAAUUGUUAAAUAAAAUAAAAAACCGGUCUCCAAUAUCUCACUUUUCCUCUUCCGUAGUCCCUCACUCCCUCUUUCAUCUCAAAUCCCAGUAUAAUCUCAAACCCUACUCCGCUUUUCUCUUUCAUCUCAAUCCCCACUAUAAUCUCCUUUUCUCUCCUCUCCCCGUCCUCAGAUUUUUGUGGUGGGAUUUCGAUUCGUUUCCUUGGUGGUGGUAAGUUGGGGUUUCAGAUCUAAAUUAGCGGUGGUUUGUUGGGGUUUCGAUUUGUUGGAGGUGGUAACAAGGUGGUUGUUUCGGUUCGCUGGUGGUCGUGCGAGUUGGUUGGGUGGGUUCCUUGGUGGUCGUCUGGUCGGUGGUGGUCGUGCGAGUUAGUUGGGGUUUCGGUUUGUUGGAGGUGGUAAGGUGGUUGGCUGGUCGCUGGUGGACGUGCGAGUUAGUUGGGUGGGUUUGUUGGUGGUCGCUGGUGACGUGGGGCUUUAAUUGGUGGUGGUGCGAGUUGGUUGGGUGGCUUUUGGGUGGUUGUGGUGGGGUUUCAGAUAUUCAUGGCGGUGAGAGGGUGGUUACAAGGUGGGUGCUGGUGGUGAUUAUUUUCUCUCUCAUCCAAUUGCCACAUGAAACUAAUUUUCCGAAAUUAAAGGCUGAGCAAGAGCUUGUGCUUGAAAAUGCACCUCCAAAUAUAGCUAAACCCUCACUUUCUUCACAGAAGAUUGAAAAUGCUCCAUCAGAAAGCCAUUUACUAAGCAAACGAAUGGCUGAUGGAUCCAAGAGAGUUAGAGUUCCUCACAUUCUCAGCCAGCAGGAGGCCUAAAUCAGUCUGCUCCUUAAGAAGUUCAAAUAUUUUCUGUCCCUCUUCAUAGUUACUACCAAAUGCUGCUCUAGAGAUCACAUCUGAACUGAGUUGCAUCAAAUCCGGGUAUCGUGCCAUAACCAGUGCCUACUAUCGAGGAGUUGUGGGUGCUUUGCUUGCGUAUGAUGUCAACAUUUGAGAAUGCUGCAAGGUGGUUGAGAGAGCUACGGGAGCACACUGAUCAGAAUGUUAUGGUCAUGCUAAUUAGGGGUGUACACCGGUUCAAAACCGGACCGGACCUGGACCGGACCUGUUUGGACCGGGGACCUGAAUUGGGUAAUUA